UCUCUUGACACGUGAGUUAGGACACGGCCAUAUUGUCCUUCCGUGCAAGGACAUAUUCUGCGUAUUAUAUCAUACGCCUUUACACAUACCACACGUGUUAUUUCAUCAUUAUUAUGGAGGUCACUCCGGAAGAGGUCUACGAUAACACAACAGAGAACACAUCUUCGCCUCUUAUCGAGACGAAUAACAACGAUGAUAUUGUCAAAAAUGUGCGCAGUAUAAUUUAUCGUAAUCGUAAAAGGAAUACUGAUUCUUCUUUGAGAAGCCCUCUCCCGCCAAAGAGAUCCACUCUGGACCCAUUUGAUUUGCAAGAUCCUAGAAUCUCAAACAAAUACGGCCUCUCAACCAAGCCUCCAUUCGUUAUACAUAUAGAGAAAAUCAUCUAUAAAUCCUUCUCCGCCGCCCAGGAACGGGUUUCGGAAAACAAAGAAAGUAACGACAACGUCAACACAGGUAUCGGCAGCUCUGAUUCUAUCCUUUCUAAUCCUAAUCAAAGAUCUUCCACUGGCUCUUACGGCAUUAUUGCGUUUGGUAAGCGUAUCUUUAAACAUAUUGAUAACUUUUCUUCAGCAUAUGACCUAAAAACUAUAGGUAGGAAUAAAUUCACAGUAACCUUCCCAGAUGGUAAUUCUGCAAAUAAAUUCUGUGAUAUUUUUAAUGAAAAAUCCAAUAUCAUCUUUCCAAGGGAAACAUGGAUAGCAUACAUACCUAGUUACAGAGUUGUUAGACAGUUUGUUGUCAGGGGUAUUGACGAUGAUGAUUCCCCUGAGGACAUAAUAAAAAACAUCCGCCCUCCACCGGAUUGGGACAUUCUGUGGCAGCCUCCAUUCGAAGCUUCCAGACUGAGAAAACCCGUUCGAACCCUAAAUAAGGAUAACACCUCAUCUACUAAAUUCGUUGAUUCUGAUUCAUACAUUAUCCGUUUCAGGACAACAACCGUACCCCCUAGCGUCAUAUAUAUGGGAAAAAGACUUCAUCUCAUCCCAUUUAUCGAAAAAGUCAGAAGGUGUCAGAGGUGCCAGAGAUUCGGCCAUGUUGCAAAGAUAUGCCGGACUCCAUAAAAGAAUGCCAUCUGCCAACGUUGCGGUAAGAAUACCUCUUCUCAUGGCUGUAAUAGUAACGAUAACGAACCCUGCACGGCCGAAAAGCCUUCUUGCAUUAAUUGCCAAAGACAAAAAUUGCCGGACUCUGUUACGGAACACGAGGCAUCCUCCAACUCCUGUCCCAUCUUCCAAAAACAGAGAAAAAUAAAAAAACUCAUGGCUUACCAUAACAUCUCUCAUUUGGAAGCCAUUUCAAUUCUCGAAAAUGCAAAUCCUCAUUCACAACCAAAUAACAUUCUAUCUCAUUCACUCCCUCCUCUUGGAGUUCCUCUUCCUACUUUGGGUGAAUUCCUCCCUGGCGCUCCUCCAGGAUCCUAUGCGGAGGUGGCAUCUAGGAACAACUACAGCAACCACAAUCAUAAUCUUAGCUCAACCUUUAAUAAAAUUCAAUUCCCCAAAAUCGUUAAACCUCAACACAACUCUAAUAUAUCUUCCACUAAUCCAUUAGCAACAUAUAAAAAACAAGAGGCCUAUCCUAAACCUAAAGUCUAUUACCCCUCCCAAAAGAAAAUCACCCACACUACCCCCUCCCAAAUCCCCUCCAGAUCCCCUCCUAAUCCCUCUACUAUCACCGAAUACCAUAAAUCUUUACCGAUCAACAAACAUGCUACCACAUCCACUCUUCCCCCCCUCGCUUCAACUACUAAUAAUCUAAACACUCUCUCCUCACACUCUGAAAUCAUAAAUAAUUGGAUACUUGAAUGCCAAAACAGAUUCUCCUCUGUCAAUCUCAUACAAACUGAUAUAUUAUCCCAAAUGGGAAUUUUCCUUAACAAUGCCAUUCUUUCUUGAUGGACUCUGCCAUGGGCUAUCUUACGCUCAUUACACAAAGUAAAUUCACAUAAUGACAAUCAAUAUUUUGCAGUGGAAUUGUCGCUCAUUGCAGAGGAGAAUCCCGGAAUUGGCUUUUCUACUUGAUAAUUACAAAAUAGAUAUCGCCACUUUAUGCGAAAUUAGAUUAGACGAACAAUUCCGCCCCAACGUUAAUAACUAUGAUAUCUAUUCCCAAGAUUGCAACCGUCAUGGCGGUGGCGUCGCUAUCUUAAUCCAUAAGAAAUACAGAUUCACACAAAUAGCAGAUAAUAAUAUGAACCUUAUCUGCAACCGUAAUAACAUUGAAUACAUAUUAGGAAAAGUCUGGCUUAAUCCGGAUAAACACAUAUAUAUCUGUUCGCUCUAUAGCCCUCCCCGAGGCGAUGUUUUGAGUUCGGAUCAGGAGGGAAGCAAACUGGAAAACGCCAUAUCACAGUUUAAUCUCCCAUGUCUUAACGACGGUGGUUAUACCUGGUCGUCGGUGGAUUUCUCGUCCACCUCAGCCCUUGAUGUCACACUGACCUCUCCAUCUAUUGCGCACAAAUGCACUUGGGAGGUUCUUGACGGGAAGCACGGUAGCGACCAUUUUCCUAUUUUAAUAACCAUCUCACACUAUAACUCUAGCCCGUCUUUCGGUCGCCCCUCCUUUGUCACUACCAACAU